UAACUAAUGUCUGAUAAAGAAAUACGUUGAUGAUGUAUUAAUCAUGAAUUUAUAGACCAAUCCUCUUUUGGUAA
rnacentral:tRNA from 1 species